UCCGGUUUGUCACCGGCAGUCUCCCAUGAGUCCCCGGCAUAACCCGCUGGCAACAUGGAACGAGGGUUGCGCUCGUUGCGGGACUUAACCCAACAUCUCACGACACGAGCUGACGACAACCAUGCACCACCUGUAAACCGGCCACAAGUGGCCGACACAUCUCUGCGCCGUUCCGAUUCAUGUCAAGCCUUGGUAAGGUUCUUCGCGUUGCAUCGAGUUAAUCCGCAUGCUCCGCCGCUUGUGCGGGCCCCCGUCAAUUCCUUUGAGUUUUAAUCUUGCGACCGUACUCCCCAGGCGGGGCACUUAAUGCGUUAGCUGCGACACCGAAGGGGUCGUCCCACCGGCAUCUAGUGCCCAUCGUUUACGGCGUGGACUAC
rnacentral:misc_RNA from 1 species